GAUGAAGAACGUAGCGAAAUGCGAUAAGUAAUGCGAAUUGCAGAAUUCAGUGAGUCAUCGAAUCUUUGAACGCACAUUGCGCCCACUGGUAUUCCGGUGGGCAUGCCUGUUCGAGCGUCAUUAUCCUCCCUCAAACCCCGGGUUUGGUGUUGGACCCAAGUUGUGUGAACAACUGGUCUCAAAGACAAUGACGGCGUCCGUGGGACCCUCGGUGCAACGAGCUUUUAGGAGCACGCAUCGAGUUGCAAGGACCUUCCGGGCCGGUCUCCUUUACCAUUUUACAAGGUUGACCUCGGAUCAGGUAGGAAUACCCGCUGAACUUAAGCAUAUCAAUAAGCGGAGGA
rnacentral:misc_RNA from 1 species